UUGACUUGUAACAUGCUUUUAUCCUCUUUUAAUAGCUGUUCAUCAUUGCCAUCCUGUCAUCGAUGGUGAAGCUGCUUCCAUUGUCUUUAUUGACCGGAUUGUUUUUGGUGGUUGAAAUACUUAAUUGCAUCAUCACAGCUUUUCUGAGGAGCCACAUGAUUGAAGCCGUGUUUCAAGCAUGCUCAUGAUUUGGACUGGGCAUGCUCGUGUGCUACAUGUUGAGGAGCACCUUGGGACCUAUAUCUUAUAGACUAUGGUCUGGAUUUCUGGUACGCUGCCUACCUUUAAACAUUUCCUCUUCCUUUUAACUUCUACCGGUUGAUGCCUAUCACCAGGACAAAUUCUUUACACAUGAAGAAAUGUGACGGAUAUGGAGCAGUUAAUCUUCUACUUACCAUUGAUGCCAAAACAUGUUGCAUGCAGGGAUUAUAGACAGUCUUGUGUGAACAAGUUUGCAGUUUCUUAAAAGCAUUAUUUAAAAUCAUUUCCUCCUGCAACUCUCAUUCUUUUCAGAUCUUACAGAACUUUAGCAACCACAGUCUCACUUCCAUUUUCUCUUUCUUUUCAGAUUCCACAGGAAUAGUCAUUUGUGUUACACGAGAAGAAAUCCUAUACAUGCAAGAAGACUGGAAGACUUGUGUGGAAAACCACUUAACAAGGUAAUGAAUGAUCUAAAGGAAGAAGACUAACAAUGAGAGAGAUCGAUGAUGAGAAGAAUGCAUCAGCUGCUGGUGUUGCAAUGAGUUCUUGUUGUGUGUCGAAUGUAUUAGCUGAUCAUACUUUGACUGGAAUUGCAGAAUACGAGUAGCUGCAGGAGUUGAUGAGGGCCUGGCAUUCAUGCACAAGGAGCUUCAUGCAGAUGGAACUCUCUAGUCCCCCAGCAUCUUGAUGAACAACAACAUGGAUCCUUGCAUCACACAGCUUUAAUGACGGCAAUGCAAACAAUGAUCAACACCAUGGGGGGAAAGAAGAUUAAGGAAAACAAGACCAAGAUAGAUCCUUCACUGAAUGCUGCAGGCUUAAUUGUUUGACAGAUUAAAAUCUAUUGUUGUUGUAUGUUUUGUUUGUCAAACUUCCUCAAACCAUCAUAACCUUUUUAAGUUAACAUGAUGCAUUUUCUUUACCACUUAUGUGUAGGAAAUCAGUACGAUACUAUUGGGGUUUGAGUUUAGGUUUGGUUAUGCAUGUGAUCAACUUGUAACACAUAAACCAUUAGAACUAAAAUAAAAAACAUGUUCAGAGUCCCAUGUUAUGGAAAUUAGCCAACUUAGGGUUUCCAUUCAACAUCACCAUAUAUUUUUAUCAAAGGAGGAUAACAAUGA
rnacentral:lncRNA from 1 species